rnacentral:rRNA from 1 species
GACGAACGCUGGCGGCGUGCUUAACACAUGCAAGUCGAACGGAAAGGCCCUGCUUUUGUGGGGUGCUCGAGUGGCGAACGGGUGAGUAACACGUGAGUAACCUGCCCUUGACUUUGGGAUAACUUCAGGAAACUGGGGCUAAUACCGGAUAGGAGCUCCUGCUGCAUGGUGGGGGUUGGAAAGUUUCGGCGGUUGGGGAUGGACUCGCGGCUUAUCAGCUUGUUGGUGGGGUAGUGGCUUACCAAGGCUUUGACGGGUAGCCGGCCUGAGAGGGUGACCGGCCACAUUGGGACUGAGAUACGGCCCAGACUCCUACGGGAGGCAGCAGUGGGGAAUAUUGCACAAUGGGCGGAAGCCUGAUGCAGCAACGCCGCGUGCGGGAUGACGGCCUUCGGGUUGUAAACCGCUUUCGCCUGUGACGAAGCGUGAGUGACGGUAAUGGGUAAAGAAGCACCGGCUAACUACGUGCCAGCAGCCGCGGUGAUACGUAGGGUGCGAGCGUUGUCCGGAUUUAUUGGGCGUAAAGGGCUCGUAGGUGGUUGAUCGCGUCGGAAGUGUAAUCUUGGGGCUUAACCCUGAGCGUGCUUUCGAUACGGGUUGACUUGAGGAAGGUAGGGGAGAAUGGAAUUCCUGGUGGAGCGGUGGAAUGCGCAGAUAUCAGGAGGAACACCAGUGGCGAAGGCGGUUCUCUGGGCCUUUCCUGACGCUGAGGAGCGAAAGCGUGGGGAGCGAACAGGCUUAGAUACCCUGGUAGUCCACGCUGUAAACGGUGGGUACUAGGUGUGGGGUCCGUUCCACGGGUUCCGUGCCGUAGCUAACGCUUUAAGUACCCCGCCUGGGGAGUACGGCCGCAAGGCUAAAACUCAAAGGAAUUGACGGGGCCCCGCACAAGCGGCGGAGCAUGCGGAUUAAUUCGAUGCAACGCGUAGAACCUUACCUGGGUUUGACAUGGAUCGGGAGCGCUCAGAGAUGGGUGUGCCUCUUUUGGGGUCGGUUCACAGGUGGUGCAUGGCUGUCGUCAGCUCGUGUCGUGAGAUGUUGGGUUAAGUCCCGCAACGAGCGCAACCCUUGUUCACUGUUGCCAGCACGUUAUGGUGGGGACUCAGUGGAGACCGCCGGGGUCAACUCGGAGGAAGGUGGGGAUGACGUCAAGUCAUCAUGCCCCUUAUGUCCAGGGCUUCACGCAUGCUACAAUGGCUGGUACAGAGAGUGGCGAGCCUGUGAGGGUGAGCGAAUCUCGGAAAGCCGGUCUCAGAUCGGAUUGGGGUCUGCAACUCGACCUCAUGAAGUCGGAGUCGCUAGUAAUCGCAGAUCAGCAACGCUGCGGUGAAUACGUUCCCGGGGCU